rnacentral:lncRNA from 1 species
CCCUUAUGAAGAACACCUGGGUCAGCAUCCUGAGGCGUGAGGCUGGUUCACAGCUGGGGCUGGACUCCUGGCCUGGCUCCCAGUAAGCACACAUCCCUCCCCACUGAGGUGCUAGGCCUAACCCAGGAUAGGGUGUAAACAGCUGACAGGAACUCUGAGCGGGUCCAGUGGUGAGGGGGCUGGCCCUGCACUCUAACAAAGGUCAAAGUGCACAGGCUCCACCCCUAGCAGGAAGCAGAGGAAGCAACAAGCACCUGCACACAGCUCCUUGCAGGGUCUUUCAGGGGUCACACACCUCAGUGCCUGCACGGUGAUCUGUACCAGGACCUGACUCGUGAGCCGCUGUCUGAGGCCAGGACCCUGGGAAGGCACUGCUGGCUAGGAGCCCAUGCAUGGAUGUAUGUAUUCAGGGCUGUACUUUUUCUUUUCUUGUUUUUCUGGCUGUCCUGGAACUCACUCUGUAGACCAAGCCGGCCUCCAACUCAGAGAUCUGUCUGGCCUACCUCUGCCUCCAAUUGCUGGAAUUAAAGACAUGGCCACAAUGGCUGGCUCCAAGGUUGC